CUAAUCCAUCGGCAAGACGAUUAG
rnacentral:siRNA from 1 species